CUGGUUGAUCCUGCCAGUAGUCAUACGCUUGUCUCAAAGAUUGAGCCAUGCAUGUCUAAGUACAAGCCCUUGCACGGUGAAACUGCGAAUGGCUCAAUAAAUCGGUUUUAAGAUACUUGAUAGUCUACCUACUUGGAAUAACCGUAGUAAUUCUAGAGCUGAUACAUGAAGCCUUCGGGUGAAUUUAUUAGAUACAACCACACCAGUGGUGAGUCAUAGUAACUAAUCUGAUCGGUGCAAGCCGACGGUUCAUUCUCGAUUCCGCCCUAUCAGCUUUCGACGGUAGGGUAUUGGCCUACCGUGGCGUUAACGGGUAACGGAGAAUUAGGGUUCGAUUCCGGAGAGGGAGCCUGAGAAACGGCUACCACAUCUAAGGAAGGCAGCAGGCGCGUAAAUUACCCAAUCCUGACACAGGGAGGUAGUGACAAGAAAUAUCAAUAUAAGACUUUUGUGUCUUGUAAUUGGGAUGAGCGGAACUUAAAUCGCUUCUCGAGUAUCAAUUGGAGGGCAAGUCUGGU
rnacentral:rRNA from 1 species